AAUAGAUACCCGGGUAGUCCUAGCCGUAAACGAUGAACACUAGGCGUAGUCGGUAUCGACCCCGGCUGUGCCGUAGCUAACGCAUUAAGUGUUCCGCCUGGGGAGUACGGCCGCAAGGCUAAAACUCAAAGGAAUUGACGGGGGGCCCGCACAAGCAGCGGAGCGUGUGGUUUAAUUCGUCGCAACGCGAAGAACCUUACCAGGGCUUGACAUGUGGCGGAAAACGGCGGAAACGUCGUCCUCCCGCAAGGGACCGUCAUGCAGGUGUUGCAUGGCUGUCGUCAGCUCGUGUCGUGAGAUGUUGGGUUAAGUCCCGCAACGAGCGCAACCCCCGUGGCAUGUUGUAUCUCUCAUGCCAGACUGCCGAGAGGAAACCUCGGAGGAAGGUGGGGAUGACGCCAAGUCAGCAUGGCCCUUACGUCCUGGGCUACACACACGCUACAAUGGCCGGUACAACGGGUUGCCAAACCGCGAGGUGGAGCUAAUCCCUUAAAGCCGGUCUCAGUUCGGAUUGCAGGCUGCAACUCGCCUGCA
rnacentral:rRNA from 1 species